rnacentral:rRNA from 1 species
ACAUCGGAACGGUGCCCAGUAGUGGGGAAUAGGCCCGGCGAAAGCCGGAUUAAUACCGCAUACGACCUACGGUGAAAGCAGGGGAUCGACAAGUACCUUGCGAAAUUGGAGCGGCCGAUGUCAGAUUAGGUAGUUGUGGGUAAAGCCUACCAAGCCUACGAUCUGUAGCUGGUCUGAGAGGACGACCAGCCACACUGGAACUGAGACACGGUCCAGACUCCUACGGGAGGCAGCAGUGGGGAAUAUUGCACAAUUGGGCGCAAGCCUGAUGCAGCCAUGCCGCGUGUGUGAAGAAGGCCU